AUUGAACGCUGGCGGCAUGCCUUACACAUGCAAGUCGAACGGCAGCACGGGAGCAAUCCUGGUGGCGAGUGGCGAACGGGUGAGUAAUAUAUCGGAACGUGCCCAGUGAUGGGGGAUAGCCCGGCGAAAGCCGGAUUAAUACCGCAUACGACCUACGGGUGAAAGCAGGGGAUCGCAAGACCUUGCGUCAUUGGAGCGGCCGAUAUCAGAUUAGCUUGGGUGGGUAAAGCCUACCAAGGCGACGAUCUGUAGCUGGUCUGAGAGGACGACCAGCCACACUGGGACUGAGACACGGCCCAGACUCC
rnacentral:rRNA from 1 species